rnacentral:rRNA from 1 species
AUUGAACGCUGGCGGCAGGCCUAACACAUGCAAGUCGAACGAGUGGCGGACGGGUGAGUAAUGUCUGGGAAACUGCCUGAUGGAGGGGGAUAACUACUGGAAACGGUAGCUAAUACCGCAUACCAUCGGAUGUGCCCAGAUGGGAUUAGCUAGUAGGUGGGGUAAAGGCUCACCUAGGCGACGAUCCCUAGCUGGUCUGAGAGGAUGACCAGCCACACUGGAACUGUGCCACGGCCCAGGCUCCCACGGGAGGCAGCAGGUGGGAAUAUUGCACAAUGGGCACAAGCCUGAUGGGGCCAGGCCGCGUGUAUGAAGAAGGCCUUCGGGUGUUAAAGUACUUUCAGCGGGGAGGCGGUACCCGCAGAAGAAGCACCGGCUAACUCCGUGCCAGCCGCCGCGGUAAUAC